rnacentral:rRNA from 1 species
GAUGAACGCUGGCGGCGUGCUUAACACAUGCAAGUCGAGCGAAGCACCUUGAAGUUUUCGGACUAAGAGGUGACUGAGCGGCGGACGGGUGAGUAACGCGUGGGUAACCUGCCUCAUACAGGGGGAUAACAGUUAGAAACGACUGCUAAUACCGCAUAAGCCCACAGUGCCGCAUGGCACAGCGGGAAAAGGAUUUAUUCGCUUCAGGAUGGACUCGCGUCCAAUUAGCUAGUUGGUGAGGUAACGGCCCGCCAAGGCGACGAUUGGUAGCCGGACUGAGAGGUUGAACGGCCACAUUGGGACUGAGACACGGCCCAGACUCCUACGGGAGGCAGCAGUGGGGGAUAUUGCACAAUGGGGGAAACCCUGAUGCAGCGACGCCGCGUGGAGGAAGAAGGGCUUUCGGGAUUGUAAACUCCUGUCGUUAGGGACGAUAAUGACGGUA